rnacentral:rRNA from 1 species
UACAGAGGGUGCAAGCGUUGUUCGGAAUUAUUGGGCGUAAAGCGCGUGUAGGCGGCUUGGCAAGUCGGGUGUGAAAUCCCUCAGCUCAACUGAGGAAGUGCGCCCGAAACUGCUUUGCUUGAGUGUCGGAGAGGAUGGCGGAAUUCCCCAAGUAGAGGUGAAAUUCGUAGAUAUGGGGAGGAACACCGGUGGCGAAGGCGGCCAUCUGGACGAUUACUGACGCUGAGACGCGAAAGCGUGGGUAGCAAACAGG